rnacentral:misc_RNA from 1 species
GUACAGUCCAUUGAACCAUUUUGGUUUUAACCAAAGUGGACUAAGAGGUGGGAUUUUGGGACUUGGAGGAGUUGGACACAUGGGAGUAAAAAUAGCAAAGGCAAUGGGACAUCAUGUUACUGUCAUUAGUUCUUCAGAUAAGAAAAGACAAGAGGCAUUGGACCACCUAGGAGCUGAUGAUUAUCUUGUUAGUUCAGACAAUGAAAAAAUGCAAGAAGCUGCUGAUUCACUUGAUUAUAUUAUUGACACUGUACCUGUUAAUCAUCCUCUUGAACCUUAUCUAUCUUUGCUUAAAGUGGAUGGCAAGUUAAUCUUGAUGGGAG